AGUGAACGCUGGCGGUAGGCCUAACACAUGCAAGUCGAACGGCAGCACAGUAAGAGCUUGCUCUUACGGGUGGCGAGUGGCGGACAGGUGAGGAAUACAUCGGAAUCUACUUUUUCGUGGGGGAUGACGUAGGGAAACUUACGCUAAUACCGCAUACGACCUACGGGUGAAAGCAGGGGAUCUUCGGACCUUGCGCGAUUGAAUGAGCCGAUGUCGGAUUAGCUAGUUGGCGGGGUAAAGGCCCACCAAGGCGACGAUCCGUAGCUGGUCUGAGAGGAUGAUCAGCCACACUGGAACUGAGACACGGUCCAGACUCCUACGGGAGGCAGCAGUGGGGAAUAUUGGACAAUGGGCGCAAGCCUGAUCCAGCCAUACCGCGUGGGUGAAGAAGGCCUUCGGGUUGUAAAGCCCUUUUGUUGGGAAAGAAAAGCAGCAGGUUAAUACCCCGCUGUUCUGACGGUACCCAAAGAAUAAGCACCGGCUAACUUCGUG
rnacentral:rRNA from 1 species